rnacentral:rRNA from 1 species
AACGAACGCUGGCGGCAUGCCUAACACAUGCAAGUCGAACGAAGCCUUCGGGCUUAGUGGCGCACGGGUGCGUAACGCGUGGGAAUCUGCCCUUUGGUUCGGAAUAACAGUUGGAAACGACUGCUAAUACCGGAUGAUGACGAAAGUCCAAAGAUUUAUCGCCAGAGGAUGAGCCCGCGUAGGAUUAGCUAGUUGGUGUGGUAAAGGCGCACCAAGGCGACGAUCCUUAGCUGGUCUGAGAGGAUGAUCAGCCACACUGGGACUGAGACACGGCCCAGACUACUACGGGAGGCAGCAGUGGGUAAUAUUGGACAAUGGGCGAAAGCCUGAUCCAGCAAUGCCGCGUGAGUGAUGAAGGCCCUAGGGUUGUAAAGCUCUUUUACCCGGGAUGAUAAUGACAGUACCGGGAGAAUAAGCCCCGGCUAACUCCGUGCCAGCAGCCGCCGUAA